rnacentral:tRNA from 1 species
GCAUGGCUAGUUCAAUUGGUAGAGCAUGUGACUCUUGAUAGCAGGGUGUGAGUUCAAACCUCAUGUUGGGUG